UAAGUGGGUAGUGAAUCGUGUGGCUCAACCAUUACGGCUAUUACUCAAACUGGCGAGCUCGAGAAUGGUAGAGGUAGCUGGAAUUUCUAGUGUAGGAGUGAAAUCCGUAGAUAUUAGAAGGAACACCAAUGGCGUAGGCAGGCUACUGGACCAUUUCUGACGCUGAGGCACGAAAGCGUGGGAGCGAACCGGAUUAGAUACCCGGGUAGUCCACGCCGUAAACGAUGGAUACUA
rnacentral:rRNA from 1 species